rnacentral:rRNA from 1 species
UAGGGAAUCUUCCACAAUGGACGCAAGUCUGAUGGAGCAACGCCGCGUGAGUGAAGAAGGUCUUCGGAUCGUAAAGCUCUGUUGUUGGUGAAGAAGGAUAGAGGCAGUAAAUGGUCUUUAUUUGACGGUAAUCAACCAGAAAGUCACGGCUAACUACGUGCCAGCAGCCGCGGUAAUACGUAGGUGGCAAGCGUUGUCCGGAUUUAUUGGGCGUAAAGCGAGCGCAGGCGGAAUGAUAAGUCUGAUGUGAAAGCCCACGGCUCAACCGUGGAACUGCAUCGGAAACUGUCAUUCUUNAGUGCAGAAGAGGAGAGUGGAACUCCAUGUGUAGCGGUGGAAUGCGUAGAUAUAUGGAAGAACACCAGUGGCGAAGGCGGCUCUCUGGUCUGCAAACUGACGCUGAGGCUCGAAAGCAUGGGUAGCGAACAGGAUUAGGAUACCCUGGUAGUCCAUGCCGUAAACGAUGAGC